rnacentral:rRNA from 1 species
GGACGAGUGGCGGACGGGUGAGUAAUGUCUGGGAAACUGCCUGAUGGAGGGGGAUAACUACUGGAAACGGUAGCUAAUACCGCAUAACGUCGCAAGACCAAAGAGGGGGACCUUCGGGCCUCUUGCCAUCAGAUGUGCCCAGAUGGGAUUAGCUAGUAGGUGGGGUAAUGGCUCACCUAGGCGACGAUCCCUAGCUGGUCUGAGAGGAUGACCAGCCACACUGGAACUGAGACACGGUCCAGACUCCUACGGGAGGCAGCAGUGGGGAAUAUUGCACAAUGGGCGCAAGCCUGAUGCAGCCAUGCCGCGUGUAUGAAGAAGGCCUUCGGGUUGUAAAGUACUUUCAGCGGGGAGGAAGGUGUUGUGGUUAAUAACCACAGCAAUUGACGUUACCCGCAGAAGAAGCACCGGCUAACUCCGUGCCAGCAGCCGCGGUAAUACGGAGGGUGCAAGCGUUAAUCGGAAUUACUGGGCGUAAAGCGCACGCAGGCGGUCUGUCAAGUCGGAUGUGAAAUCCCCGGGCUCAACCUGGGAACUGCAUUCGAAACUGGCAGGCUAGAGUCUUGUAGAGGGGGGUAGAAUUCCAGGUGUAGCGGUGAAAUGCGUAGAGAUCUGGAGGAAUACCGGUGGCGAACGCGGCCCCCUGGACAAAGACUGACGCUCACGUGCGAAAGCGUGGGGAGCAAACAGGAU